UGCCUAUGAUGAAAGAGAUGCUAUUUGCGCUUGUGGAUGAGAAUUCGUGAUUUACACAGAAACUCUACUGCCUUCCUUCUGAGGCC